CCUUUUGCAGCAAUUACAGCUGCAAGUCUCUUGGGUUAUGUCUCUAUAAGGUUGGCAUAUCUAGCCACUGGGAUUUGUGCCCAUUAUUCAAUGCUAAACUGCUACAGCUCCUUCAAGUUGGAUGGGUUCCCCUGGUGUACAGCAAUCUUUAAAUCAUACCACAGAUUCUCAAUUGGAUUGAGGUCUGGCCUUUCGACAAGGCCAUUGAUUGUACAUUUUUAUCAGAAAUAUGUAUAAUGUCAACCUAAUCUCAUUUUCAUCCCUGCAUCAAAUGACCUAACACCUUUUCUGAAUGUCAACUAGACUUAUCCCCCUCACUAACAUACUGACCUGACCGCUCCUCAGCGUGCGCAUGUUGAUUUUGUCCACCCAGACCAGACGUGAUCAGGCCAUGCAGGUUGAAAUAUCAAAACGAACUCUGAACCCAUUGCUGUUGCUUGCUAAUUUGUCCUGGGAUAUAAACAUUGGGUUGUUAUUUUAGCUGAAAUGCACAUGUUCCUCUACUACGACAAUUAAUCCACAGAUAAAAGGGCAAAAAUGUGUUUCUAGUCAUCUCUCCUCCUUCACGCCUCUUCUUCUUUGGACUUCAUAUGGAGAUGGCAACCAACUUAAAGGUAGAUGCAUUACCACUACCGACUGGAGUGUGGACCCUAGUUCAUCUUUUCAAUCAUGUUCCUAAAAACCAAUGAGGAUAUGGGAGAAGCGGGACUUGCAGCGCAUCAAGGGUCACAAUUUGAACAAAGUUAUAUUUUAGCACCUGGCUACGCAGAUGCUUGUUGAUGUGCGCGAUCAGUGUGGGUGCAAUGAUUGAAUAACUUGUAUGUGUACAUUUAUUUUGCAACGCUUGCGCACAUGAAGCGAGCAGAGUGGUCAGCAUGUUACAACAAUUCUGUUAUUGUUAUUCGAGUGCUGAAAAGAACCUCAAGAAUGUUGGUGAUGACGUUGUGCUCCACCUGCUUGACGAUAAACCACUUUUCAAAAGUUCAACUCCUGUUCAUUUUACUCGUUGUGAUUGCAUAAUGUUGUUACAACUGUCCAGUUCCCAAACACAGCACAUUCUCCUCUACUCAAUAUGGAAGUUACGCGAAUCAUCUCAAAGCUUUGUAGUUUUAUACUAGCUUUCAUUCUGCUUACAUCUUGCACACCUGGGAAACGAGCACCGCCUUUACAUGUCUGUCUGUCUGCAAGCAGCCAAGUAGUCAAACCAGUCCGAAUAUUUGGAACAUCACCUCUGCAAGACGUUCACAGGUAGACUCCAAUCAAGUUGUAGAAACAUAUCAAGGAUGAUCGAUGGAAACUGGAUGCACUUGAGCUCAAUUUUGAGUCUCAUAGCAAAGUGUCUGAUGUAAAUAAGAACCCGAACCCACCAAUCCUGAUUCAACAGAGGGUGUGCCAGAGAAUCCCAAACCAAGAAAGAUUGUAGCCUUCACAGCCAAACUAAACAUUUGUGACAGCUACCCAACUCACAGCAGUAUCCUGAAGUUUGC